GCCUCUGUCUGUGGGCCAGGCUAUGACGGCCACAGAAAGCCCACAGGACAGCUCCCAGCUGCACUGCAAGCCUCUGUCCCAGAAUCCCCAGCUCACAGCAAAGAAGACACCUGAAACAGACGGUACUCCCCAAAAGCAGCACCCCAAAAGAUGCUGGGGCAGGCGCCAUGGGCAAGGCUGUUUCCUUCUGGCCCUGCCGUCCUGCUGCUGAUGCUCUGUGCUGGAGUGACCACCCAGGCUAUCUGCAACUUUCCAGGAUUGCAGGAGCAUGGAAGUGAGUCCCAAAAAUGAACGUGUCCUGGGGAAGGAGAUGGGAAGGGUUAAGGGGAUUAUUCCCCCACAGUUUCCCCUGUAAGACCCAGGACAGCACAGUCUCCCAGCCUUGGCAUGCAGUUGUUUUUGCCACCCUGCAGUCAGUAACACUUGCCUGGGGAAUCCCUGUGUCGUCCCUCCAGGUAAUGACCAGACGCCAGUCCUGUACCUCAACACUUCCAGUGCCCAGGAGGGGGAAAUAGUUUUCUUUCAAUGUACCAUUGAUGCUCAUUUUCCUGCUACACGAGUUGUCUUCUGCAAGAAUGGGCUGGAAGAGUUCAGCCUGAAAGCCCAGCAGGGAAAGGUCAUCUACACUAUGGACCUGAACAUCACCUCCAGAAGUGCUGGGACGUACACGUGUGGGUACCAGCAGAGGAACGAGAGCAACUGGGUGAGGAGCUCUGCUCUCAGUGCUCCUUGGAUGCUGUCUAUGCCAGGGAUAUCCAUGCCCCUGGAAGUCUGGAUCCUGCGCUCUGCCCUCAGCCUACUCCUUCUGCUGUCUGCCCCCAUCAUCACCCUCCUCCUGGAGAGAUGGAGCCAUGGUGCCAGCAGGGCCAGGCAGCCUGGAGACAUCCCUGUCCCCAUGGUGCUCUGAUGUCCUCCUGGGCUCUAUGCUCUCCCCAGCCUGCUCCCUCAUGCUCAGAACAUGACCCCCACACAUUUGCCAGGCUCCCACUGCCAUUGGGUUCAAGGCAGCUGGGGCAGCAUGCCCAAGGGAUGUGCUGCCACUGCUCUGCUUCCCUUGGCUGAGACUCUGCUCUCUGCUCACAUUAAGGAGGGAUCGUGCACUCUCCUGGCUGCCUUCAACCACAACACCCACGUUGCUGCCGCUCCUAGUCAUAGGAUCUCCAUCAUGUGAUCCACCUCUGAAUACCAGAACAACACAAGGGGAUGGAGUCAUGUCUGCACCCCCAGGUAGCCAUGCUCUGCAGCUCCUGCAUCACUCCAGCACCUCCUUGUGCCCAAGGUGGUGCCGGCUGCAAUGGGCACAUCCCCAGGUGGUCACAGUGCCCUGUGUGG